UAACGUAGGGGCAAGCGUUGUCCGGAUUUAUUGGGCGUAAAGAGCGUGUAGGCGGCCAGGUAGGUCUGCUGUGAAACUCGAGGCUCAACCUCGAGACGUCGGCGGAAACCAUCUGGCUAGAGUCCGGAAGAGGAGAGUGGAAUUCCUGGUGUAGCGGUGAAAUGCGCAGAUAUCAGGAAGAACACCCGUGGCGAAGGCGGCUCUCUGGGACGGUACUGACGCUGAGACGCGAAAGCGUGGGGAGCGAACAGG
rnacentral:rRNA from 1 species